AUUGAACGCUGGCGGCAUGCCUUACACAUGCAAGUCGAACGGCAGCACGGGAGCAAUCCUGGUGGCGAGUGGCGAACGGGUGAGUAAUAUAUCGGAACGUGCCCAGUCGUGGGGGAUAACGCAGCGAAAGCUGUGCUAAUACCGCAUACGAUCUCUGGAUGAAAGCGGGGGACUCGCAAGGGCCUCGCGCGAUUGGAGCGGCCGAUAUCAGAUUAGCUAGUUGGCGGGGUAAAGGCCCGCCAAGGCGACGAUCUGUAGCUGGUCUGAGAGGACGACCAGCCACACUGGAACUGAGACACGGUCCAGACUCCUACGGGAGGCAGCAGUGGGGAAUUUUGGACAAUGGGCGCAAGCCUGAUCCAGCAAUGCCGCGUGCAGGA
rnacentral:rRNA from 1 species